UCCCGCAUCCAGCCGUCCCGCGCGAUCUCUGCUGGCGCCUGGGGGGAGGGUACGCCGCCGCCUGGUUCAAAUCUGACCACCCUGCUCUAGUACAGCGCCUGCCAGACCUCCCUCCGCUUGGCCAGUCCAGGUGCAGCCAACCAGGACGACCAGGACGCCCGACGGUCACCUCUAGACCUCCCUCCGCUCCAGAUCAGGACGCUCAGCCGACGCUGGCAAGAUCUCUCUCUGCUCUUCUGUGCCUCCCCAUUCUUCUAUCAAUGAUCAAUCUAUCCUAGCAUAAAGCAUCCAUAUGUGAUUUUUUUUGAAGUACAGAAUCAAACUGUGUUGUUUUUGCUGUCCUGAUGAAAAUUGUUGAUAAAUAAUGAGAGGUAUUGGAGAAAAGAAUUAGAUAUUGGUAUUGGUAUUUGGUAAUUACCAUUUGUUUGAUUGUUAUCAUAUUUGCUAUCCAGUACAUGAAAACACGGUCAUGAGAAAUCAUACACAUAAUUUACUAUAUCCAGUACAUGAACAGUUGACCAGUGACAUGAUAACGAUUUGUGUGAUUGUUUGCCAUUCUAACAAGUUACUCUAACAGUGCCACUCUACCAAAGUAACAAGGCCACAUAGUCUUCUUUGAACUUCUAAAGUGUAUCAAUGGAUUUAGAAUCUAUAAAGGAGCUAUUGCUUUCUCCUAGACCAAGUGAGGAAUGCUUGGCUGGUGUAGCUGGUUUUCUUGACUUUGCGUACAUAGAGGGCAAGUCAAAGAAUAAUUUUAAGGCACGACUUGACCUGCAGGACAUGAAAAUCAGGCCAGAGCUACAUCCUAAAAAUAAACCUACCGACGAGUAUUUUCUUCUAGCUGCUUCUUAUACCAUGUCAAAGAAAGAGAAGCAUCAGUUUUUCAAAGUACUUCAUGAUAUAAAAGUUCUAGAUAGUUACUUGGGGAACUCAAAAAAACAGAAGGAACAGUUUUGCAAAGUACUUCGUGAUAUAAAAGUUCCAGACGGGUAUUUGGAGGAAUGAGGAAAUUUUGCCAGCGGAGAUUAGAAGGAUUGUUCUAAACUGGUGCAUGAAGCUAUGCGCUCUUUUAGGACAUUUUUAUGUCUGCAUAGUUUUUGCUCUUCAAACAUGAAGCUUGAAAAAAAUACGAAACUUUGUACCGAGUUAAGCUUUAUGUA